rnacentral:rRNA from 1 species
GGCUGUUCGCCAUUUAAAGUGGUACGCGAGCUGGGUUUAGAACGUCGUGAGACAGUUCGGUCCCUAUCUGCCGUGGGCGCUGGAGAACUGAGGGGGGCUGCUCCUAGUACGAGAGGACCGGAGUGGACGCAUCACUGGUGUUCGGGUUGUCAUGCCAAUGGCACUGCCCGGUAGCUAAAUGCGGAAGAGAUAAGUGCUGAAAGCAUCUAAGCACGAAACUUGCCCCGAGAUGAGUUCUCCCUGAGACUUUAAGUCUCCUGAAGGAACGUUGAAGACGACGACGUUGAUAGGCCGGGUGUGUAAGCGCAGCGAUGCGUUGAGCUAACCGGUACUAAUGAACCGUGAGGCUUAACCUUACAACGCCGAAG